AAAUUGAAGAGUUUGAUCAUGGCUCAGAUUGAACGCUGGCGGCAGGCCUAACACAUGCAAGUCGAACGGUAACAGGAAACAGCUUGCUGUUUCGCUGACGAGUGGCGGACGGGUGAGUAAUGUCUGGGAAACUGCCUGAUGGAGGGGGAUAACUACUGGAAACGGUAGCUAAUACCGCAUAAUGUCGCAAGACUAAAGAGGGGGACCUUCGGGCCUCUUGCCAUCGGAUGUGCCCAGAUGGGAUUAGCUAGUAGGUGGGGUAACGGCUCACCUAGGCGACGAUCCCUAGCUGGUCUGAGAGGAUGACCAGCCACACUGGAACUGAGACACGGUCCAGACUCCUACGGGAGGCAGCAGUGGGGAAUAUUGCACAAUGGGCGCAAGCCUGAUGCAGCCAUGCCGCGUGUAUGAAGAAGGCCUUCGGGUUGUAAAGUACUUUCAGCGGGGAGGAAGGGAGUAAAGUUAAUACCUUUACUCAUUGACGUUACCCGCAGAAGAAGCACCGGCUAA
rnacentral:rRNA from 1 species